AUUUAUUCAUGUCUACUAUCCAAUGUGAUUCGUGUGCUUAUAUGAUUACCUUGAAUGUGAUUUAGAACAACUUUUCUAAAUCUCAUUCAUACUCUGGCCAGAGGUUCUAAAUCAUAUCAUAGAGUAUUCUCCCUCAAACAGUUUGAAGGUUAGAGAUCCCUUGUUGCGCAUUCACUUGCCUCUAUGGCUAAGUGGCUUAACCCCAACGAUGCCGUGGACACUCCAAUGGAAU
rnacentral:lncRNA from 1 species